rnacentral:rRNA from 1 species
UGGGGGAUUUUGGACAAUGGGCGAAAGCCUGAUCCAGCGACGCCGCGUGGAGGACGAAGCCCUUCGGGGUGUAAACUCCUUUUCUCAGGGAAAAAAGCUGAUGGUACCUGAGGAAUAAGCCCCGGCUAACUACGUGCCAGCAGCCGCGGUAAUACGUAGGGGGCGAGCGUUACCCGGAAUUACUGGGCGUAAAGGGUGCGUAGGCGGCCGUGUGUGUCUGGCGUUAAAGUCCACGGCUCAACUGUGGGUAUGC